AAUUCGGCGAAAUAUUACCUUCAGUGAUGAUGUUUAAAUAUCAUCACUGAGGGUAAUAUUUCGCCGAAU